CUGUCUAGUAAACAGGAGAUCCUGGGUU
rnacentral:piRNA from 2 species